rnacentral:lncRNA from 1 species
ACUUGAGUGAAAUGAAUAGGAAUAUAAGCAUCCACUCCCAUUAGUUUUUCUAAUGAGACAGGCUAUGUCCAAGUCUGCUAUAACAAUUGGUUCGACUUGAGAUGUGACACCUAGCCUUGCAGGCCUUGAUCCAGCACACAUUUACUGAGUUCCUAGAUCCUGUAACAGCGUGGAGCAGCUUCAGAUGUUCUUAGGGAAACAAAGCAUAACCACGGGAUAGACUAAAUAGUGACAUGUCAGUGAUCAGCAAAUAAUCAUUGCCACCAUGACAUGCUAUAGAAAUCCAGAGGUGGCAAAGAUUAAUUUGAGUGAUGUGGCUGGAAAAGUCUCCCUAAUGAAUAAGAAACUUGAACUUUUAAAGAAAGAGCAGAGGAAAAAAGUGAUUUUAGGUUUAAGUAAUGCUUAUGAAUAGAAAUAAGUUAUAUUUGGUGAGGAGGAGUGAUGGAUUUCUCUCCCUCUGGCAGAAACUGAGGCUUCAUGGAGGAAAGAGAGUGGAUUUAGAACAAAUAGCUUGCGUAAAUGUUUUAUGGAAAUUACUCCGGAUCCCCAACCAAGAGUCCGUUUUUGGAGAGAGCUACAGCAGAGAGGUAACACAAGCAGGGGAAACAGGAGAGGGAGAAGCAGGUUUCCUGCUGAGCAGGGAGACGGAUGCCACGGAUGCGGAUGCCACGGAUGCCAUGCGGGGCUCUGUCACUGGGAGGAUCCCUGGAAUCAUGAACUGAGCUGAAGACAGAUGCUUAAUGACGGAGCCACCCAGGUGCCCUGAGAAGAAAGUUAAAGAAAUUUAUUUUAAUAAACUCAUUGAGUGUUCCCAGUUUCUUUUCUUAGUGUCUUCGCUAAUUCUUUCUCGUUUAGGAGGUAGCAAAUAUUUUUAUUUCUCAGUAAAUUCUUUGCAAUAAAUAAAAUGUCUUUCAUUAGAAAUUAAAAUACAAAAACUGUAAAAUUAAAUAUAGUUUAAAAUACUUUAAAAAUUUCUGAACAGGAACUGUUUGUUCUUAU